GCUCAUGAAAGUCCAAAAUCCAGUAUUUCAAAAUAUUAGAAUAUUUCCUAAGAUCAAUCAAAAAAUGGAUUUGCAAAACAGAAAAGUUCAAGUUCUUUAAAGUAUGUUCUUUUGUGCACUCAAUACUUGAUCGGCAGGACAUAUUACAGCAAAUGACUUGCUCCUAGCACAAAUUACAGCAUCAGUGAAGUGUGGCAUGGAAGUGAUCAGCCUGUGGCACUGCUGAGGCACUAUUGAGCCUUCAGAUCAUCUGUAUAUUGUUGGAUCGACUGUUUCUCAUCUUUCUCUUGAAAAUAUCCCAUAGAUUCAGGUCAGGCAUAUUGGCUGGCCAAUAAAGCACAGUAAUAUCAUGGUCAGCAAACCACUUAGAAGUGGUUUUUGCACUGUGGGCAGGUGCUAAAGUCCUGCUGGAAAAGGAAAUCAGCAUCUCCAUAAAGCUUGUCAGCAGAUGGAAGCAUAAAGUGCUCCAAAAUCUCCUGGAAGAUGGCUGCAUUGACUUUGCACUUGAUAAAACACAAUGGACCAACACCAGCAGACAUCACGGCCCCCCCAAAUCAUUAUUGACUUCAGAAACUUCACACUAGACUUCAAGCAGCUUGGAUUCUGUGCCUCUCCAGUCUUCCUUCAGACUCUGGGACCAUGAUUUCAACAUGAAAUGCAAAAUUUACUUUUAUCUGAAAAGAGGACUUUCGACCACUGUUCACUGUCCAGUUCUUUUUCUCCUUAGCCCAGGUAAGAUGCUUCUGACGUUGUCUCUGGUUCAGAAGUGGCUUGGUAGUCCUUUUCCUGAAGAUGUCUGAGUGUGGUGACUCUUGAUGCGCUGACUCCGGCUUCAUUCUACUCAUUGUGAAGCUCUCCCAAGUGUUUGAAUCGGCUUUACUUGACAGUAUUCUCAAGCUUGCGGUCAUCCCUGUUGCUUGUGCACCUUUGCCUACCCAAUUUCUUCCUUCCAGUCAACUUUGCAUUUAAUAUGCUUUGAUAUUUCACUCUGUAAACAGCCACCCCAUUCAGUAAUGACCUUCUGUGACUUACUCUCUUUGUGGAGGGUGUAAAUGAUUGUCUCCUGGACCAUUGCCAAGUCAGCAGUCUUCCCCAUUAGUGUGGUUUCAAAGAACAAAAGAUACCCGGAAUUUAUACUGUAGGGAUGGUCAUUUAAUGAAACUCAAAUGUAAAUAUUCUAAUAUUUUGAGAUACUGGAUUUUGGACUUUCAUUAGCUGUACGCUCUAAUCAACUAAUUAAAAAAAAAAAACUUUUGAAAUGUUUUACUUUACAUGUAGGGAAUCUAGAAUAUAUGAAAGUUUCAUUUUUUAAAAUAAUUUACAAUAAAAAAAUGAACUUUUUCACGAUAUUCUAAUUAUAUGACCAGCACCUGUAUUUGGCAAUCGGAAUAUCAGAUAUUUCAUGCUAUAGUUAACAAAUUUGUGAAUAUUUUGAAUAAAAAAGGAAAAAUUUAAUAAAAGCAGAUCAUCAGUCAUACAGCGCUGUGGUGUGUUAUGUGACAAGCAAUGACGCGUCACCAUGGAAACAAUAAAGUGAUACGUUCUAAAUAACGGUUGCCUUAAAAAACUCACGCUGGGGGGUCAGACAGAAUAUUUUAAACUUACGUGCGAAAGGGUUAAAAUGAUACUGAAUAUUGAUCAUUUUCAAGGUAUUUUAUUGAAGUUAGAAAUUCCAGUAUCGUGACUCCUAAUUCAUGCACUUUGUCAAUAAGGUGAAAGUGCUUUGUUUAAAGUAGCUAUUUUCUACUUAGAUCUAUGAUUUGAUUGAAUAUUUUUUGAUAAUUUAUUAAAUAUCGCUGGCUAAAAAGUAAUUAGUAAUUUUAGUACUUUGAGUAGUUUUUGAGAAGAGUAAUUUGUACUUUUACUAGAGUACUGUUUUGACACCAGUACUCUUACUUGUAAUUGAGUAUUACUUCAGCAAUGUAACAGUACUUGUACUUAAGUACAAAUUUUCAGUACUCUUUCCACCACUGCCAAUUUGUUUCCAAAUUCUGGAAAGAAUUUUGUUGGUUGCUAGGGGCGAAUGUGAGCCUUUCUUCUGGGUUUCAUCCCCAGAGCAACGGUCAAACUGAGAGGGCCAACCAAGACUUGGAACGGGUGUUGCAAUGUUUGGUCUCUCAGAAUCCGUCCUCCUGGUGCCAACAGCUCUCAUGGAUUGAGUAUGCGCAUAACUUGUUACCAGUAUCGUCCACGGGCCUCUCUCCAUUUGAAGGUAGCCUAGGUUACCAGCCACCUAUUUUUAAGAACCUGGAAUCCGAGGUCGCGGUCCCCUCCGCUCACGCUUUUGUCCAAAGGUGUCAUCACACCUGGAGGAAGGCCAGAUUGGCUCUCCUCCGGGUGCGAGAGCGCACUAAGGCUCAGGCCGAUCGCCACCGGUCUGAGCCUCCCGAAUACGUCAUUGGUCAAAAAGUGUGGCUUCUACUCAGAACAUUCCUCUCCGCACCGUUUGUAAUAAGCUUGCUCCCAAAUUUAUUGGCCCAUUCACUGUCACUAAGAUCAGUCCUGUGGCAGUCCGCCUCAAAAUUCCUCCGGUAUACAGGAGAAUUCAUCCGGUGUUUCAUGUAUCCAAAUUAAAACCUGUGUUUCGUUCACCCAUUAAUUUGCCUGCCCCGUACCAUUUGGGAACCAUUUGGUCCCCACAAUGUAAUAUAAACCUGUACACACACACAAACACACAGACACACACACACACACACUUUGAACAUAAUGGUUAUCAUCUAAGAAUUUUGAAAAUUUACCAAUUGCUUGUGAAAAUUUUGCCAAAGCAAUUGGAAAAAAAACAAAGACAAAAAUCAAUCAAACUCCAGGCAGAGGGUGAAUUGACUGCAUAUUGUGUUAAAACAACAUGAAUUGUGUUAAUGGUGUGGUCACAACAGACGGAUGUUGAGCUAACUGUGUUUAGAGUUUUGAAAAUGUGACUACAGAUUGAACAAAUGUAUGUUAGCAAUUGAAAAAAAGCUGUAAUAAAAUCGUAACUGCCUGCGCAUCGUUCAUUAUCAUUAUAUUAUCAUUGCCACAACCACCCGUGACAAUAUUGAGUUGAAUACAGUUGUCAGUCAACACUGCUCAUCACUUGCUUAGAUGAUUGACAGAUGAAACUGACAGACACUUUGUCAUAGUGAGCAGCAGUUAUUUGAGCAGCUGCCUGAUUUUUAUAUUGUACAAACUGUAUAUUCCCUCCCCUAACCCUACCCCUAAACCUAGAAAACUAACCUAAAAAACCCACAGAAAACUUUCUGCAUUUUUACAUUUUCAAAAAACAUCACUUAGUAUUAAAUCACAAUGAUCACAACAGCAUCUAUGUGGAUAAACUGUGGAUCAUUAAUAAACACAGUAAAACAGAUAAAAAACUGUGAUUUCACACCAUGUCACAAUAUCAGAAUGUGCAGACUGUGAAUCACUCACAAAGACAGUUGAUCAUCUGUUUGAAUAUAAAGAGGUUUAAAUAAAAUCAGAAUUACUUCAGCUCAGCAUUAAAGUCUCAGAAGUGACCAAUGACACAUCAUAAGACCACACACAAACAUAAAAACAACUAAAGAAAGAUAAACACUCACCUCAGAUCAUUCUGUUUCCUCUGAACUGUUGUACAGCAGCUGUGGAUUUUCUUUCACGUCUAGAAUACCAGCAACUGUUUUCAGGACGAGACGUGAGAACGAAAAGAAUGAUGGUCUGACAUGUUAACACAAGCACUCACUCUGACAUGGUCUGUUACUCAUAAAGAUUCAUUCUCAGGAAACUGCUUGUAGGAUUAUCCAGGUGACGUAUGGGUUUGGCACUACAACUCCCAUAAGUCUUUGGGGCAAUUAUAAGAAUUGCGUCAUUACGUCGUUGGCGUGCUAUAAAAAGACGCACGGAAAUAUAGCACGUCCUCGUUUCAUUCAUUCAUUGACUCUGGAAACAAGCGUGAGCUAGCCUCAAGUAACUUAUGGUCUGUUUAUAAAGAGACGUACAGAAACGUAGCUCGCCCUCGUUUCAUUCAUUCAUUGACUGAGGAAAUAAGCGUGAGCUUGCAUCAGGUCACCUUUAUGUGCGGGGCAUAAGGCAGUCGUAUAUAUUUGUUUUAUAGAGGUAAUGGGUUUAUGUAAAGAUAAUAGUAGGUUAAUUUGGGUGGGCAGAAAGUCAUUUUAUCUUGUUGCAUUUCAGAAGCCCUUGUGUGUUGAUGGUGAUUGGCCUGGUGAUGCAGUCUUCAGAGUGUUGAAUGAGUUGAGAACAAAUUAGGUUUCUUUUAAAGAAGAACCGUCUGGUUGAUUUAUUCUUCCCUUUUCUUAAAUCCAGUUCAUUUAAAGUUUUUCAUCAUUUCCAUGGCAGCUGCAGGAUCUCCUCCAAGGGUGUGACUGGCACUGGUGAGGUGGUGGGCAUUCUUUUGUGAUUCCUGGUGAUUUAUUUAUCCUUUUGAGUGCCGUGGAUUUUGUGCUGUAUUUGGAGUGUGCACUGCGAGUAGUGGCUCUAUUUUUCUACACACGUAUGGUUGUACCCUGUUGGAGCCCUGCGGUUCGUCAUAAAUUUGUUUUGUUUUUGUUCUUUUUCCUUGCUGAAUAAAAGCUUGUACAAGCAAUACAUUUUCA